rnacentral:lncRNA from 1 species
AUGGCCUAUUUCCCAAGGGCAAUUCACACACUGUCAUUUAUAGAGUUCUGUUGUCUUCAUGAAGAACCACGAAGGGUAAAAUCGCCUCACAGAGUCAGAGGGAAGGUGGGAGAGUGGCCUCCAACUUCCAACCCCUGGAGGAGCAAGGUGAUUCCUGUUCAUCAAUCAAGGGUCGACGGAGAUCAGAUCUUAAUAAGACACUGCUUUGCCUUUUGGAGCAGGGCGGUCGUUUGUCUCCUACUCCAAGAGAGCUAGGAAGCAGGAACCGUCUGCAUAGGGCUUGCCGUCACCCACAAAUGUCACCCCUCCAUUCCGGCACUGCCACGUGCUCUGACACCAUCAGGGAGAGAUCUGGAAAUGUUAUCCCUUCCUCUUCUUCAAGAUUAAGAGAGUUGACACAGCCAUAGAGCUUGACAGGUGGCUAAAAGCGUGUGAGGUCCCUCACGGCAAGUCAGAGCUCCCGGUCCUCCUGGGAAGCAUGAGGGACCCUGUAAGUCGUCGUUCAAGUGCCUGAGUGAUGAGGCUGUUGGAAUCCCACCUCCGACCCGCUGUGAAACCCUAGGCAGCUCAACCUCCAGUUGCCUCAGCUUUAUUUGCUUAUAAGUGGGGGUGAUGACAGCACUCAUCUCGUAGGACUGUUAGGAUUGAAGAAGUAACUAACGUGAUUAGAACCAUGCCUGGCCUGUAAGUGCUAUGCUGAUCCCAUGUUACAGGUGAGGGAAACUGAGGCUUGGAGAGAAGAAGGGCUCUUCCCCAGGCCCCACAGCCAGUUGGUGGCAGAAUCGAAGAUCUGAUCUCUGUGACAUGAUCUUCCAGCUUUGAGGAGCCUGAUGAGCCCCAGCGAGGAGGGACCCUCCUCCUUCCCCAUCUUCCCCAAACAGUGAUGCUCCUCGCCCUUUGGACAGGACAAACAGGUACCUGGAAGAGAGGAGAAAAAAGAAGAUGAUGCGAAAAGAGAUCAAGGCUUGUUAACACUCUGCCAUGCACCAGACCGUCAGACUGGGACUCGGAAAACUUAUUUCUGUAAAGAGCCAGCUAGUAACAGUUGAGUCCUUGGGGGCCCUCUGGUCUCUGUCGCGACUACUCACCUCCCCAGGGGCAGCCACAGGGAAUAUAUAAAUAAAAGGGCAUGGCUGUGUUCCA